rnacentral:rRNA from 1 species
UACGUAGGGCGCAAGCGUUGUCCGGAAUUAUUGGGCGUAAAGGGCUCGUAGGCGGUUUGUCGCGUCGGGAGUGAAAACUCAGGGCUUAACCCUGAGCCUGCUUCCGAUACGGGCAGACUAGAGGUAUGCAGGGGAGAAUGGAAUUCCUGGUGUAGCGGUGAAAUGCGCAGAUAUCAGGAGGAACACCGGUGGCGAAGGCGGUUCUCUGGGCAUUACCUGACGCUGAGGAGCGAAAGUGUGGGGAGCGAACAGG